CGAGCGGCGGACGGGUGAGUAACGCGUAGGAAUCUACCCAGUAGAGGGGGAUAGCCCGGGGAAACUCGGAUUAAUACCGCAUACGCCCUAAGGGGGAAAGGCCGGGAUCUUCGGACCGGUCGCUAUUGGAUGAGCCUGCGUAAGAUUAGCUAGUUGGUAGGGUAAAGGCCUACCAAGGCGACGAUCUUUAGCUGGUCUGAGAGGAUGAUCAGCCACACUGGAACUGAGACACGGUCCAGACUCC
rnacentral:rRNA from 1 species